rnacentral:rRNA from 1 species
CCUAAGGCGAGGCUGAAAAGCGUAGUCGAUGGAAAACAGGUUAAUAUUCCUGUACUUCUAGUUAUUGCGAUGGAGGGACGGAGAAGGCUAGGCCAGCUUGGCGUUGGUUGUCCAAGUUUAAGGUGGUAGGCUGGAAUCUUAGGUAAAUCCGGGGUUCUAAGGCCGAGAGCUGAUGACGAGUUACCUUUUAGGUGACGAAGUGGUUGAUGCCAUGCUUCCAAGAAAAGCUUCUAAGCUUCAGAUAACUAGGAACCGUACCCCAAACCGACACAGGUGGUUGGGUAGAGAAUACCAAGGCGCUUGAGAGAACUCGGGUGAAGGAACUAGGCAAAAUGGCACCGUAACUUCGGGAGAAGGUGCGCCGGUGAGGGUGAAGGACUUGCUCCGUAAGCUCAUGCCGGUCGAAGAUACCAGGCCGCUGCGACUGUUUAUUAAAAACACAGCACUCUGCAAACACGAAAGUGGACGUAUAGGGUGUGACGCCUGCCCGGUGCCGGAAGGUUAAUUGAUGGGGUUAGCUAACGCGAAGCUCUUGAUCGAAGCCCCGGUAAACGGCGGCCGUAACUAUAACGGUCCUAAGGUAGCGAAAUUCCUUGUCGGGUAAGUUCCGACCUGCACGAAUGGCGUAACGAUGGCGGCGCUGUCUCCACCCGAGACUCAGUGAAAUUGAAAUCGCUGUGAAGAUGCAGUGUAUCCGCGGCUAGACGGAAAGACCCCGUGAACCUUUACUAUAGCUUUGCACUGGACUUUGAAUUUGCUUGUGUAGGAUAGGUGGGAGGCUUUGAAGCGUGAACGCCAGUUUGCGUGGAGCCAUCCUUGAAAUACCACCCUGGCAACUUUGAGGUUCUAACUCAGGUCCGUUAUCCGGAUCGAGGACAGUGUAUGGUGGGUAGUUUGACUGGGGCGGUCUCCUCCUAAAGAGUAACGGAGGAGUACGAAGGUGCGCUCAGACCGGUCGGAAAUCGGUCGUAGAGUAUAAAGGCAAAAGCGCGCUUGACUGCGAGACAGACACGUCGAGCAGGUACGAAAGUAGGUCUUAGUGAUCCGGUGGUUCUGUAUGGAAGGGCCAUCGCUCAACGGAUAAAAGGUACUCCGGGGAUAACAGGCUGAUACCGCCCAAGAGUUCAUAUCGACGGCGGUGUUUGGCACCUCGAUGUCGGCUCAUCACAUCCUGGGGCUGAAGCCGGUCCCAAGGGUAUGGCUGUUCGCCAUUUAAAGUGGUACGCGAGCUGGGUUUAGAACGUCGUGAGACAGUUCGGUCCCUAUCUGCCGUGGACGUUUGAGAUUUGAGAGGGGCUGCUCCUAGUACGAGAGGACCGGAGUGGACGAACCUCUGGUGUUCCGGUUGUCACGCCAGUGGCAUUGCCGGGUAGCUAUGUUCGGAAAAGAUAACCGCUGAAAGCAUCUAAGCGGGAAACUUGCCUCAAGAUGAGAUCUCACUGGAACCUUGAGUUCCCUAAAGGGCCGUCGAAGACUACGACGUUGAUAGGUUGGGUGUGUAAGCGCUGUGAGGCGUUGAGCUAACCAAUACUAAUUGCCCGUGAGGCUUGACCAUAUAACACCCAAGCAAUUUGCUUAAGAAGCGAGUUGCGGUGUGUGAAGACGAUACAAACCGAAAGUUUGCAAACACACAAA